GAUGAACGCUGGCGGCGUGCCUAAUACAUGCAAGUCGAGCGAACAGACGAGGAGCUUGCUCCUCUGACGUUAGCGGCGGACGGGUGAGUAACACGUGGAUAACCUACCUAUAAGACUGGGAUCACUUCGGGAAACCGGAGCUAAUACCGGAUAAUAUAUUGAACCGCAUGGUUCAAUAGUGAAAGACGGCUUUGCUGUCUCUUCUAGCUGGAUCCGCGCCGGAUUAGCUAGUUGGGAAGGUAACGGCUUACCAAGGCAACGAUGCGUAGCCGACCUGAGAGGGUGAUCGGCCACACUGGAACUGAGACACGGUCCAGACUCCUACGGGAGGCAGCAGUAGGGAAUCUUCCGCAAUGGGCGAAAGCCUGACGGAGCAACGCCGCGUGAGUGAUGAAGGUCUUCGGAUCGUAAAACUCUGUUAUUAGGGAAGAACAAAUGUGUAAGUAACUAUGCACGUCUUGACGGUACCUAAUCAGAAAGCCCCGGCUAACUACGUG
rnacentral:rRNA from 1 species